AACUCCGCAACCUUUCUCCCAGGUCAGGUCCAGUGGACCCAUCCACACAGCCUUCGAAUAAAAGCCCGAAAGAGUUCUCCAGUCUCCCGGAGGGUUCGAGCUCUCUCUCGUUGGAGUCGUUUCUGCGUUGGCAGGGUCUGCGCAAGGCUCAGGACAAUGCCCAUUACAAGAGCUGUCUCUUCUGAGUGAAGUGAGUAUGCUUGUGCAAUGGACGUUGCCUUGAGCCUUGCACAAACUUGUCAUCUAUGAUCUUUUCAGAAGUUUAGCAUUCUGGGUUCGCUGAGCCUUGUUAAUGGCUGGUGGAAGUUCGCCAGCCUCAAGGAGCGCUGCUGUCUGACAAGGGAUGCCUUCACCUGUGCUGGCGAGGAACGCCCUCCUUGGCGGGGCGUGGGCCGCCCUCUCCCUAUCUGCCUAUUUGGUGAGGGCAACUCACACCCCUGCCCAGUCUGGUGAAGCCCGGCCCUCACACGAGGCUGAUGGAGGUCAUCGGCCAUUGACGAGCAUGAAGAGAGAAAGGAAAAAGAAAAAAAGGAAAAAAAAAAAAAUUACAAAAAUUAUUCACGUGUGUCGACACCUUAUUUUUGUUAGAUAAUCAACUUACCGUUCAGCAACCGCCAUUAGCCGCUGUUUGCUGGAGUUUGCCGUUCCUCAUCUUAGUCGUGUUUACUGAAGAGCCGGCCUCACGUUGGUCUCGGUUUGAUUCUGCUCUUGGCCGAGCAGAUUCGAGGGUGUCGUGACUACUAUUGGGGGAAAUAGAUUUAGAGGUAUUAACCCGUACAUCAUGUGACAGAGGAAAACAGGUUUCGUUCGACAAUUCUUCGAGAAGCCAAGAUUUCGUUCGUCGGUGAAUCGCAAACGAUCUUGUAGCCGACUCGAUUGUCCGUCACAGUACAAACAUUAUAAACCAGGUAGUUUCAAUGGUUUUCCAUUUAGUUUUACUCGGUUUGGCUGUAGAAUUGUUAUCUAGAAUGAUGCCUUCUCCGAUGAUGUGAAAUUGAGCGUGCUGAGAUUUGUCGUUCAAGUGCGGAUAACCCACAUUCGUCAUAGUCUCAAUUUAAUUCGGAAUCUGAGCUCACAAUGGUUAGAAUCUCUCGCUCGACCAAUUGCCCAUAACCUAUUCGAUUAUGUGCCUAUGAGAAUAUGAAUAAAAGUCAGUGCAGGAUUUGCUGGA